rnacentral:rRNA from 1 species
UACGGAGGGAGCUAGCGUUGUUCGGAUAUACUGGGCGUAAAGCGCACGUAGGCGGCGCCGUAAGUCAGGGGUGAAAUCCCGGAGCUCAACUCCGGAACUGCCCUUGAAACUGCAGUGCUAGAAUCUUGGAGAGGCGAGUGGAAUUCCGAGUGUAGAGGUGAAAUUCGUAGAUAUUCGGAAGAACAUCAGUGGCGAAGGCGACUUCCUGGACCAAUACUGACGCUCAGGUGCGAAAGCGUGGGGAGCAAACAGG